GCCCAGCAGGAGACAGACUGCUCACUCAAGGGGGUCACUGGGGCCAGCUUACUCAAGGGACUGUCUACAAGGUGGAGGUGGCGCUAAGGAAACCUUCAAGGGAUGGCGGAGGCUCCUGAGCCGGGAGACAUCUGGAGGCCCCAUCAGCCCUGGGCCUGACGUUGCAAGGGAGGGAGCUAUGCAGGAGCUGGAGAGAGUCGUAGCUGUGGGAGGGGCCACAGCAGCUGGACUGUGGCUUGAGGAAGACGCCAAGGGCAACCACAGCCCACCAUGGAGGGAGCGGGGAGCUGGCAAUGAAAGCUUCACCCUCCCUCUCGUCCUGCCCUCCUGUCUCCCUCCGCUGCCUCCCAUUGGCUGAACCCCCAGGAAGCCAGAGGGCCAGGGAGCUGUUGUUACAGCCGAGGAGGCCGGCCUUCCGGAGCACAGAGAGGGAAAAGAGGAUCUUGCAGAAGCAAAAUUGAGGCCAAGAGAGGAGGAUUCAUCUGCCUCUGGUCACGCACCUCGGCAAUGGCACAACCAGGAUCAGGACGUUGGCCCUUGAACUCUGAAUCCAGUGCCUUUUCUGCUAUCCUGGCCCUCUCCUGCCUUCUGCUGGGCUUUCUGGAAAUAGUCCCUGUUCUAAGAAUGUGAAGAUAUCAGCUUUUACCACUCCCGUGGCCAUGACUGGACUGUGGGCUGUGAGCUGCUCAUCUUGGCAUCCCGGGGAACUGGCCCCGGGUUCGGUACUUGUGGGCGCUCUCUCCGUAUGCGCAUUUUUUGUAAUACCAGAAAGUGUUUCCUUACGUGUAA